rnacentral:rRNA from 1 species
GUAGUCUCGCACAGAUGCAUAUCAAUAAGCGGAGGAAAAGAAACUAACAAGGAUUCCCUCAGUAACGGCGAGUGAAGCGGGAAGAGCUCAAAUUUGAAGUCUUGAAAGGUCACCUUUCACGAAUUGUAGUUUAAAGAAGUGUUUUCUGUUACGAUCGUAAUAUAAGUUCUUUGGAAUAGGACAUCACAGAGGGUGAGAAUCCCGUCUAUGAUUGCGAUUUGUAGCUUUGUGAUACACUUUCAAAGAGUCGGGUUGUUUGGGAAUGCAGCCCAAAACGGGAGGUAAAUUUCUUCUAAGGCUAAAUAUUGGCGAGAGACCGAUAGCGAACAAGUACCGUGAGGGAAAGAUGAAAAGAACUUUGAAAAGAGAGUUAAAUAGUACGUGAAAUUGUCAAAAGGGAAGCGUUUAACACCAGUGUUGUUUUCUGAAAAUCAACCUCUGUUAGCUUUAUGCAUGUUUGUUUAGACCUAAUCAGCUAUCUUGCAUGUUCUAUUGUUUGCAGUGGUGCACUUUUCAGUUUACAGGUCAACAUCAGUUUUUUUUACCGUAAAAAAGUUAAAGAAAGGUAGCUCAUGGCUCCGGUCGUGAGUGUUAUAGUCUUUUUCCUAUGCGGUAGGAGAGACUGAGGUCUGCAGUGUAGGCUAUUUGGCUAGAUACUCAGGUGCUAUGUGAUACCAUUUCAUAAACAACUUGUUGAUUAUGUUUUGUCUAUUGCAUACUCGCUUGUACUAUCAUACCUACGCUUAGGAUGUUGAAGAUGUAGCACAUCAU